GCAUGAAUGCAGGCCCCCACUACCACAAAUGAUGCAGUCGAGUUUCCCACAUUUGGGGAAAUCGCAGGGGUCAGCGCAUCUGGAGCACAAUGGAAAAGCCAAAUCAGAAGAGCA